rnacentral:rRNA from 1 species
CCUACGGGUGGCUGCAGUAGGGAAUCUUCCACAAUGGACGCAAGUCUGAUGGAGCAACGCCGCGUGAGUGAAGAAGGUCUUCGGAUCGUAAAACUCUGUUGUUAGAGAAGAACACGAGUGAGAGUAACUGUUCAUUCGAUGACGGUAUCUAACCAGCAAGUCACGGCUAACUACGUGCCAGCAGCCGCGGUAAUACGUAGGUGGCAAGCGUUGUCCGGAUUUAUUGGGCGUAAAGGGAACGCAGGCGGUCUUUUAAGUCUGAUGUGAAAGCCUUCGGCUUAACCGGAGUAGUGCAUUGGAAACUGGAAGACUUGAGUGCAGAAGAGGAGAGUGGAACUCCAUGUGUAGCGGUGAAAUGCGUAGAUAUAUGGAAGAACACCAGUGGCGAAAGCGGCUCUCUGGUCUGUAACUGACGCUGAGGUUGAAAG